GCGGCCGUGGUCUAGUUUGGUUAGGACGGAAGCUUCCCAAGCUUUCAACCCGUGACGGUCGAAUGAUCGCGGGACUUCA
rnacentral:tRNA from 1 species